rnacentral:rRNA from 1 species
AGAGUUUGAUCCUGGCUCAGGACGAACGCUGGCGGCGUGCCUAAUACAUGCAAGUCGAACGCUUCUUUUUCCACCGGAGCUUGCUCCACCGGAAAAAGAGGAGUGGCGAACGGGUGAGUAACACGUGGGUAACCUGCCCAUCAGAAGGGGAUAACACUUGGAAACAGGUGCUAAUACCGUAUAACAAUCGAAACCGCAUGGUUUUGAUUUGAAAGGCGCUUUCGGGUGUCGCUGAUGGAUGGACCCGCGGUGCAUUAGCUAGUUGGUGAGGUAACGGCUCACCAAGGCGACGAUGCAUAGCCGACCUGAGAGGGUGAUCGGCCACAUUGGGACUGAGACACGGCCCAAACUCCUACGGGAGGCAGCAGUAGGGAAUCUUCGGCAAUGGACGAAAGUCUGACCGAGCAACGCCGCGUGAGUGAAGAAGGUUUUCGGAUCGUAAAACUCUGUUGUUAGAGAAGAACAAGGAUGAGAGUAACUGUUCAUCCCUUGACGGUAUCUAACCAGAAAGCCACGGCUAACUACGUGCCAGCAGCCGCGGUAAUACGUAGGUGGCAAGCGUUGUCCGGAUUUAUUGGGCGUAAAGCGAGCGCAGGCGGUUUCUUAAGUCUGAUGUGAAAGCCCCCGGCUCAACCGGGGAGGGUCAUUGGAAACUGGGAGACUUGAGUGCAGAAGAGGAGAGUGGAAUUCCAUGUGUAGCGGUGAAAUGCGUAGAUAUAUGGAGGAACACCAGUGGCGAAGGCGGCUCUCUGGUCUGUAACUGACGCUGAGGCUCGAAAGCGUGGGGAGCAAACAGGAUUAGAUACCCUGGUAGUCCACGCCGUAAACGAUGAGUGCUAAAGUGUUGGAGGGUUUUCCGCCCUUCAGUGCUGCAGCUAACGCAUUAAGCACUCCGCCUGGGGAGUAGGACCGCAAGGUUGAAACUCAAAAGGAAUUGACGGGGGCCCGCACAAGCGGUGGAGCAUGUGGUUUAAUUCGAAGCAACGCGAAGAACCUUACCAGGUCUUGACAUCCUUUGACCACUCUAGAGAUAGAGCUUCCCCUUCGGGGGCAAAGUGACAGGUGGUGCAUGGUUGUCGUCAGCUCGUGUCGUGAGAUGUUGGGUUAAGUCCCGCAACGAGCGCAACCCUUAUUGUUAGUUGCCAUCAUUUAGUUGGGCACUCUAGCAAGACUGCCGGUGACAAACCGGAGGAAGGUGGGGAUGACGUCAAAUCAUCAUGCCCCUUAUGACCUGGGCUACACACGUGCUACAAUGGGAAGUACAACGAGUCGCAAAGUCGCGAGGCUAAGCUAAUCUCUUAAAGCUUCUCUCAGUUCGGAUUGUAGGCUGCAACUCGCCUACAUGAAGCCGGAAUCGCUAGUAAUCGCGGAUCAGCACGCCGCGGUGAAUACGUUCCCGGGCCUUGUACACACCGCCCGUCAA